rnacentral:rRNA from 1 species
CAAUAAGCAAAAUAAGGGCGUAUGGGGGAUGCCUAGGCUCUCAGAGGCGAUGAAGGACGUGAUAAGCUGCGAAAAGCUACGGGGACUGGCACAUACAGAUUGAUCCGUAGAUAUCCGAAUGGGGCAACCCACUAUGUUGAAGACAUAGUACACCGAUAGGUGAGUAAACCCGCUGAACUGAAACAUCUAAGUAGGCGGAGGAGAAGAAAACAAAAGUGAUUCCGUAAGUAGUGGCGAGCGAACGCGGAUUAGCCCAAACCAAUGUUGUUACGGCAAUAUUGGGGUUGUAGGACCACGAUAUUUCUUGCGGAUUGAAUUAGAAUAACCUGGAAAGGUUAACCAUAGAGGGUGAUAGUCCCGUAUAAGUAAGAGAAGAUAAGGAUAGUGGUAUCCUGAGUAGGGCGGGGCACGUGAAACCCUGUCUGAAUUUGGCGGGACCAUCCGCUAAGGCUAAAUACUCCUGAGAGACCGAUAGUGAAC